CUAGCCUGCCUUAGCCCUGCAGCACCGCCGACUGGACUUUUAACAGCCUGGAGCCACCAGGGUCCCUUUUCAACUGGACAUUCCAGUCGGAAACUGGACACCUGGCAACCCUAAACAAAUCUGAGUGCUGUGAGACCCUAGUCCAGUCAGUGAACUGCAGCGUGAGCUUCCACACACAGUCCUCGGCUAACUCCUCCGGGAGAAACGUUUUAUGGCAUGGAAGGGUCCAUCUAGUAAAAAAGGAAGGCAGUUGGUGGGGGGAACUACAUGUUCUAAAUAACUCCAAUACUGAGCUGCAGAGAACUGAAAGAAAACUCACGUCAAGGAAAUUUGAUGAGAAAAUCCAACAAAGACAAUUAUGGCAAGUGGAGAAUUGAUAUGAAAGUUACAGAUCUCCCCAUCAUAUUAAAUGAGCAAAAUGAAGAUAGAUCAUUCAUAAGAGUUCUGUUACUGAAAUGUUACGGUGUAAUGUGUGCUACCCAAAUA